rnacentral:rRNA from 1 species
UACGGAGGGUGCAAGCGUUAUCCGGAUUCACUGGGUUUAAAGGGUGCGUAGGCGGGCAGGUAAGUCAGUGGUGAAAUCUUCGAGCUUAACUCGGAAACUGCCGUUAAUACUAUCUGUCUUGAAUGUUGUGGAGGUGAGCGGAAUAUGUCAUGUAGCGGUGAAAUGCUUAGAUAUGACAUAGAACACCCAUUGCGAAGGCAGCUCACUACGCAAUAAUUGACGCUGAGGCACGAAAGCGUGGGGAUCAAACAGG